rnacentral:lncRNA from 1 species
AUUCAUUAGGUCCUAAUCUAUAGAUUUCACAUGACUGAGAAUACAGAUAUGCAUCUGUUGUUCACAGAUACCUUACAAAAAAGGUAGAGGCAUGGAUCAUAAAACCAGUCAGGUUUGGUUUGACCAUCAUUUGCCAUAUGCAGCAUGACACAUCUCCUUCACAUAGAGUGAUCCGGAUGUUGAUUGUGGCGUGUGAAAUGUUGUCCCACUCCUUUUCAAUGACUGUGAGAAGUUGCUGGGUAUUGGCGGGAACUGGAACACGUUGUCGUACACAUCGAUGCAGAUCGUCCCAAAAAUGCUCAAUGGGUGACAUGUCUGAUGAGUAUGCAGGCCAUGGAAGAGUUGGGACAUUUUGAGCUUCCAGGAAUUGUGUAUAGAUCCUUGUGACAUGCGGCUGAACAUUAUCAUGCUGAAACAUGAGGUGAUGGCGGCGGAUGAAUGGCACGACAAUGGACCUCACAGCAUCUCUGUGCACUCAAAUUGCCACCGAUAAAAUGCAAUUGUGUUCAUUGUCCAUAGAUUAUGUUUGCACAUAACAUAACAACACCGCCCCCAUGGUACACUCUGUUCACAACAUUGACACCAGCAAACCGCUAGCCAACACGAUGUCAUACACGCUGUCUGCCAGCUGCCUUGUACAGUUGAAACCGGGAUGCAUCGGUGAAGAGCACACUUCUCCAGCGUGCCAGUGACCAUUGAAGUUUUGAGGAUGGACAACACAGGUCUACACAGAUGUAGCCAACAGCGCAAUACAGGCCUAGAAGAGGAUUCUUUGUCACAUAAAGAUAAUGCAGAGCUCUCUCUGUUCUGUGUCUGCCAGGGCUCCAUGGCUGUCUCCCAUUGGCACCCUAUUAUCUAUAUAG